GGCAGUCACCAGGGGUGCCGUGCCCGCGCGUUGCGGGCGGCUGAGAGAACGUCGUGUUCAACCCUAGGAACCUGAUCUGGUUUGUACCAGCGGAGGGAGCGUGACGGGUGCCGAAA
rfam:Deinococcus sp. TR1 contig_8, whole genome shotgun sequence.